rnacentral:rRNA from 1 species
UUCCGGUUGAUCCUGCCGGAGGUCACUGCUAUCAGUAUUCGAUUAAGCCGUGCGAGUCAAAUGUUUUUCGUAAACAUGGCGUACUGCUCAGUAACACGUGGAUAAUCUGCUCCAAGGUCAGGCAUAACUCCGGGAAACUGGUGAUAAUACCUGAUAAAUCAUAGCUACUGGAAUGUUCUGUGAUUCAAAGCUCCGGCGCCUUAGGAUGAAUCUGCGGUCUAUCAGGUAGUAGUGGGUGUAACGUACCUACUAGCCAACGACGGAUACGGGUUGUGAGAGCAAGAGCCCGGAGAUGGAUUCUGAGACAUGAAUCCAGGCCCUACGGGGCGCAGCAGGCGCGAAAUCUCUACAAUGCGGGGAACCGCGAUAAGGGGAUACUGAGUGCCAGCAUAUUAUGUUGGCUGUCCACCUGUAUAAACAGCAGGUGUUAGCAAGGGCCGGGCAAGACCGGUGCCAGCCGCCGCGGUAACACCGGCGGCCCGAGUGGUGGCCACUAUUAUUGGGUCUAAAGGGUCCGUAGCCGGUUUGAUCAGUCUUCCGGGAAAUCUGACAGCUCAACUGUUAGGCUUCCGGGGGAUACUGCCAGACUUGGGACCGGGAGAGGUAAGAGGUACUACAGGGGUAGGAGUGAAAUCUUGUAAUCCUUGUGGGACCACCAGUGGCGAAGGCGUCUUACCAGAACGGGUCCGACGGUAAGGGACGAAAGCUGGGGGCACGAACCGGAUUAGAUACCCGGGUAGUCCCAGCCGUAAACGAUGCUCGCUAGGUGUCUGGGACGGUGCGACCGUUUCAGGUGCCGCAGGGAAGCCGUGAAGCGAGCCACCUGGGAAGUACGGCCGCAAGGCUGAAACUUAAAGGAAUUGGCGGGGGAGCACUACAMCGGGUGGAGCCUGCGGUUUAAUUGGAUUCAACGCCGGG